CGGGACGGGGUGAGUAAUGUCGUGGGAAACUGCCUGAUGGAGGGGGAUAACUACUGGAAACGGUAGCUAAUACCGCAUAACGUCGCAAGACCAAAGAGGGGGACCUUGGGCCUCUUGCCAUCGGAUGUGCCCAGAUGGGAUUAGCUAGUAGGUGGGGUAAAGGCUCACCUAGGCGACGAUCCCUAGCUGGUCUGAGAGGAUGACCAGCCACACUGGAACUGAGACACGGUCCAG
rnacentral:rRNA from 1 species